rnacentral:rRNA from 1 species
CCUACGGGAGGCAGCAGUGGGGGAUAUCGCACAAUGGGGGGAACCCUGAUGCAGCGACGCCGCGUGGGUGAAGAAGUAUUUCGGUAUGUAAAGCCCUAUCGGCAGGGAAGAAAAUGACGGUACCUGACUAAGAAGCCCCGGCUAACUACGUGCCAGCAGCCGCGGUAAUAAGUAGGGGGCAAGCGUUAUCCGGAUUUACUGGGUGUAAAGGGAGCGUAGACGGCUAAUCAAGUCAGAAGUGAAAACCCAGGGCUCAACCUUGGGACUGCUUUUGAAACUGAGUAGCUAGAGUGCAGGAGAGGUAA